rnacentral:lncRNA from 1 species
GCGGGGAUUGCAGGGACGGGGUUAAACCGCGGGUGGGGACGGCACCGCCGAGCCGGGCCGGGACUCGGGGCGGCCCAGGGGACUCAUGGAAAGCGGCGGGACGGGCAGAAGCGGAGCUCGGGGCUGUGACCCGCGAUGGACUCACAGGGCCGGAGCUCGGUGAGGAGCCGGUGCUCGGAGUACCCCGGGCAGCGCACGGCUCCGGGAAUGGCGAGAGGUAAAUAAAGAGCUUGAUAAAAACCGUAUCCAAAAAUCCCGGGAAACGGCGCUGCCUUUUACGGCAGUCGCGAUUUUCGGGUCCUUUUACCACAGUCGCGAUUUACGACAGUCGUGAUUUACGGCACUUCAAUUUGCAGCACUUUAAAAUAAAGUAAAAUAAAAUAAAAUGCUUUAAAAAUAGAAAUAUCAAAAGUAAAAAUAGAAAAACUAAAAACAAAAAUGAAAAAUAUAAAUGAAUUGGAACAAAAAAUGAAAUAAUAGCUGUGAUUUUAUUUUUUUUUAAAUUUUAUUUGGUUUGGGGCUGCCCAGGGUGGGGGAAGGGGUGGGAACCUUUCGAAAGGAUUCAUUGAUUUAUGAUUUAUCAAUUUGCGAUUUAUUACUGCGCGACUCAUUGAUUCACUUUUUACUAAUUGGUGGUUUAUUAAUUUACGAUCUCUAUUACAUUAAAUGGAAACGAGUUGUGAGAACUGCACUAAACUAAAGCAGGUGAGGUUUGGGGUCCCAGGUGAGUUCUCAGGUGAGUUUGGGGUCUCUCAGGUGCCGGGGUCAAGGGCAGGGCGGUGACGCCUCCAGGUGGUUCCCAGGUGUCUCUCAGGUGUGUCCCUGGUGUAUCUCAGGGGAGUUUUGGGGUCUCUCAGGUGAUUUCCAGGUGAGUUUUGGGGUGUUCCAGGUAUCCCAGGUGUGUCCCAGGUGUGUCCCAGGUGUCUCUCAGGUGUGUCCCAGGUGUGUCCAGCUGUGCCCAGCUGUCCGUCACGCGCAGGGGUCAAAGGGCAGCGCGGUGACGCCCCCGUGCAGCUCCAGCCCCGCCUGUGCCCAGGCCAGCAGGUCCCCGCGGGGGGGGGCGGGGCUCUGGCACCGCGCCAGCGCCGCCACCUCGGGCGGGGCCAGGGCGCGGCCCCACAGGUGCAGCUCGGCCAGGUCCCCCACGAACGCCUGCGAGGCGUCAAAGCGGCCGCCC